GACGAACGCUGGCGGCGUGCUCAACACAUGCAAGCCGAACGGAAAGGCCCUGCUUUUGUGGGGUGCUCGAGUGGCGAACGGGUGAGUAACACGUGAGUAACCUGCCCUUGACUUUGGGAUAACUUCAGGAAACUGGGGCUAAUACCGGAUAGGAGCUCCUGCUGCAUGGUGGGGGUUGGAAAGUUUCGGCGGUUGGGGAUGGACCCGCGGCUUAUCAGCUUGUUGGUGGGGUAGUGGCUUACCAAGGCUUUGACGGGUAGCCGGCCUGAGAGGGUGACCGGCCACAUUGGGACUGAGAUACGGCCCAGACUCCUACGGGAGGCAGCAGUGGGGAAUAUUGCACAAUGGGCGGAAGCCUGAUGCAGCAACGCCGCGUGCGGGAUGACGGCCUUCGGGUUGUAAACCGCUUUCGCCUGUGACGAAGCGUGAGUGACGGUAAUGGGUAAAGAAGCACCGGCUAACUACGUG
rnacentral:rRNA from 1 species